GAUGAACGCUGGCGGCGUGCCUAACACAUGCAAGUCGAACGGACUUGUUCUUGUAGCAAUAUGAGGGCAAGUUAGUGGCGGACGGGUGAGUAAUGUGUGAGCAACCUGCCCUUCAGAGGGGGACAACAGCUGGAAACGGCUGCUAAUACCGCAUAAUGUAUCGAGAAGGCAUCUUCAUGAUACCAAAGAUUUUAUCGCUGAAGGAUGGGCUCACAUCUGAUUAGCUAGUUGGUAAGGUAAUGGCUUACCAAGGCUUCGAUCAGUAGCCGGACUGAGAGGUUGAACGGCCACAUUGGGACUGAGAUACGGCCCAGACUCCUACGGGAGGCAGCAGUGGGGAAUAUUGCACAAUGGGCGCAAGCCUGAUGCAGCGACGCCGCGUGAGGGAUGAAGGUCUUCGGAUUGUAAACCUCUUUCAGUAGGGACGAAGCGAAAGUGACGGUACCUAAAGAAGAAGCACCGGCUAACUACGUGCCAGCCGCCGCAGUAAUAC
rnacentral:rRNA from 1 species